UUUCCGUCACUAUUUGACGUUUGUGGAUGUUGUAGUACACAAGUCGAUCCGGCGACUGCUCCGUGCUACGUGCCCGGCAAGUUGUCAAACAAGCCGUGGGCAAAUACGAAGUGCCAGCCGGGGAGCACAGAGUGCCGGAGUACGGAUUACGGAGAGUGCGGAGCGUGGAGUGUGGAGCAUGGAGCUCCGUUGCCGGACUCCAAAGAGAGGAGACCACCGCGCUGCACUCGUCCGACUGUCAAUUACAACUCUAAAUAUGUGUGCACACUCGACAUUUGUCGCAUUUGUUUGCAUUUGCGCCUGCCUGCAAUAAAAUCCAACAACCGACAUUCAUCGCGCAAGAGUUAUACGUUCUGGCAUAUGGGAAUACACUGGAAAAAAAGGGGCAGAAAAUGAUCUCAUCCCAAAUGACACCUGUUUUUUUCCGGUGUAUUGCCCUUCGAGUGCGACUUCAUAUGCAUGCUUCAGUUCUCUGUCGCAACGUGAGAGAACUCUGUGGAAGCGUAGAGCUCUGUGGAAAUGGCCCCAACUCCCCGUCGGCAAAAGUGUCCCGUCCAAUAAAAUCUAAUAACCACUUGGGGACACCGUUUGGGCACUCCCCUCCUCCACUUCUCCUAUCGCCGGAGGAGUUCGGCGGCUCCAAGGGCCCAACAACUGCGGACGGCGGACCUUAUAAGCAAGGUCUCUCUAUUCACUUGCACGAUUUUCGGCAGCUUUUCUUCUUCUGUAUUAUGACAUUGGCACAAAGAUGCGGCGGCGACUGCAGUUCCAGAAAUUUAGUUUUCCUGCCUUUAUGAUCGUUUGUCGGUCGUCAAAGGGCCUCUACGGGUGGUGGGAGUACACAGGGGGGCGGGGGGGGUUGGAGACGAGGUGUCUAGGAGACAGCUGUGUGUGUUGCAAGUAGUUGGGGUAUUUGGGGGUAGGCUUACGAAAGGAAUUCGGGGAAUUCACGAAAUAAAGUAAUCGCUUUAAUGGCUGCUUCAAAAUAGAAAACUUUUUAGUCCAUUAUAAAGAAAGUUUAUUUUAUACGCUAAUUAGUAUAUUAUAGUACAGUUAUAAAAGCUUUAGUUAGCAACCAAGCUGAGGUACCUUAACUACCUUUGUGUGAGAUAGAAAAAACAUAGCGAACUGCACGUAAAGUGCCCCAACUGAAAUGCGAAAACGUUUACGAGAUGGCACCUAAUUAGGCAGAAGAACGCCGCCAGAAAUUUACGUUUCCUUCGGUUCUGGCGCAUCUUUCACCUCUGCAAACUAUACUUACGACUUUUCGAACACUCCAACGCCAGCGAUUGGCCCAAAAAAUGAGUAAAAUGCGCUUUUCCUACACAGAAAAGAAAACUAUUCAAAAAAUAUUAAUACUUUUACAAAUUAAAGUUUCCAAUAAUCACAUAUCUAAGAAAUGCUUUUAAGAUACUACUUAUUUUGUGUGGAAUAUUACAAAAAUGUGAAAAAUUGAGUUUGCACUGAGCAAACACGGAUUCGUUCCCAUUGAGUUGCCGAUGCGGCCGGGUCAGAAUUAUUGGCGUAGUUACGACCGGACGGACAGUCACAUACAUCAAAUCAUAAAGCAAAUGGUGCCGACAAACUAACUGGCCGGAGCCAAAAUGGCAGAGUGGCCAAAUAACCAAAUAGCCCAGGCCGACAGCCCACUGACAUUUACAUUCGCCCCAAAAAAGACAACGCCAGGGCAAAUGAACAACCGAUGGCCAAACAACCAAACAACCGAACAACCAAACCAAAGGAGUCCCAACAACCGACGACAACGAGAACGUUCCGCUUUUUUGCGUUGGUUCCGGGAAACGCAACAAAAUUUCACAACGCACCCAAAUGUUUCCCUUCCUCUCAACUUGGCCAUCAUCAUCAUCAUCGGCAACAUCCCCAUCAUCGUGCCCCCACUGCAUCUCCAAAGCCCCAGGAAGACAACAACACCUUGACCAAAAGCAAUAGCCAACUUCAAAGAAUCUUCCAACGGCCACGCCUCGAACACUAGACAACAACAUUGUUGGUUGCUGUUGUUGGUACACCGAAAGAAAAAUAAUUAUUGUAACAUUAAUUGCAGAAUGAUUCGGAUUACAUGCUGUACAUGAUAUAAGAAAUAAGCAUAUUUAGUAAAUACUCACAUAUUCAUUUGAAAACUUUCGUUUAAA